AGCGGCUGAUAAGGAUAAGGCACACACACACUCUACCUGCUCAGUGAAACAUCUACAGGAUCGGCUUCUUUCAGAACGUCAGGAGGCAGACGCCAUCACGCAACCACUGCUAUCCAUCGAGGAUGGAUUCAUCAAGGAUCUGGAACGUUUCCUCAACUACAGAGACAUGCUUGUUGUGAGGAAGCGCGAGCUUCUGCACAAGCGCUGGAUGAAGUGUGUGU